AGACAGGAGAUAGAAAGGAUACUCCAUACAUUCCCCUUGACUCCCUCCUCUACUGACUGACUCCAUCCUGACUCCCUCCUCUACAGACUGACUCGUCCUCACUACACACAGCAUCUCUUUGUCCCUCUGUAUGCCUGGUUCUACUUAGUGAGGCGUAGCAGCAGCACACAUUUUAUAAGAACCUCUCAGAGUUGACAUUUAACACAAUUAGUAGCCUCUCUCUCCCCCUUUUCCUGUAUCGGCACUCUCUUUACCUCCUCCUCCCUUUCCCCCACCCCCAUUUCCUUCUCUUUUUCCAGUGUCACAACCUCCCCUUUCUCCACCCUCUACCUCCAUCUUUCCCAGGCAAGCCAGUCCAGGUUUGUAUUUUUGUUUAUUAUUUACAACGAUGGUCUACACCGGCCAAACUUGGAUGACGCUGGGGCAAUUGUGCGCCGCCCUAUGGGACUACCAAUCACGGCCGGUUGUGAUACAGUCUGGAUUUGAACCAGGUUGUCUGUAGUGACACCUGAGAUGAAGCAUCUUAGACCACAGCACCACUUGGAAGCCCCUGUACGUGUAUGUCAGGCAGGAACACCAUGUCACCCAGCAUUUCUCACCCAGGUGACAAUGGGCAGCCUGGCAGUCUGCACCGGGCACACCGGGCCUGCUAGAACCUUGUUAGAGACACACCACUUGGCCUGGACCAUGGGGAGGGGAACUGUUGCUAAGGCUAGGGGGUUAACAGUGUUCACUAAACACAGCAGACAGACAUGUUGAGGUGGAGGUGGUCAGACAUGGGAUAAAGGACAGGGUUGGUUUGGGGUUAAACCAGGACAGUGGUUGAGCUGUAGAUGGGAUAGGGGACAGGGAUGGUUUGGGGUUAGACCAGGACAGUGGUUGAGCUGUAGAUGGGAUAUAGGACAGGGAUGGUUUGGGGUUAGACCAGGACAGUGGUUGAGCUGUAGAUGGGAUAGGGGACAGGGAUGGUUUGGGGUUAGACCAGGACAGUGGUUGAGCUGUAGAUGGGAUAGGGGACAGGGUUGGUUUGGGGUUAGACCAGGACAGUGGUUGAGCUGUAGAUGGAAUAGGGGACAGGGAUGGUUUGGGGUUAGACCAAGACAGUGGUUGAGCUGUAGAUGGGAUAGGGGACAGGGUUGGUUUGGGGUUAGACCAGGACAGUGGUUGAGCUGUAGAUGGGAUAGGGGACAGGGUUGGUUUGGGGUUAGACCAGGACAGUGGUGGAGCUGUAGAUGGGGAGAUGAGGGUGUUUCCCUCUGA
rnacentral:lncRNA from 13 species